UCUCGUUUUGAAACCUAACUCUUUAGAACUGAAUUCCUCGAAUUUCACAUCUUCGAUUUCUCACCUUUCUUUCUCUGUCUCAAUUAGUCUAUAAAAUUCUCCUUCUUCCCUAGCCCUUUUCUUCGAAUUAAAGAAAAAUUGAUGAUUUUCUGUGAAGUGGGUUUCAUUUUUCUGUAAUUAGGGUUGAUAUAUUUGAACUGAGUGUUGGUGUAAUAGGGGAAAUCCGAGAUAUUUGAAGUGGGUUUUGUUAAUACAGAUAGAAAUUGGAUUUUUACUGAGAUUGUUUGAAAGGGAAUCGGAAGAUGAACUGGAGAAAUUUAGUCACCACUACUGAAAGAUCACUUUUCAGAUCAAUAACUUUCUCGGAGAGAAAAAGGUCAAAUCUUUGCUUGACGAUGCUAAGGCUGGUUCUCCUGAGUCCCCACAUUUAUCAACUGCUUAUUCGGGCCAUUUGUUGCCUUCGAUGCCCAUAUAAAAGGUCCUUCGUUUCAGAGUUUACAAACAAGAGUGCAGCACCUGAAAAAGAAAGCAAACCAUCAAAGAAGUCCAGACCUGAAUCAGAAGUAAUUCAAUUUUAGCGGGAGCUUCAAAAAAUCCUUGGACCAACUUGAGAUGAGCAGUUUCAAACGGAGAUGCUAUUACGAGCUGAAGAAAUGCACGGCAGCUACAAAAAGCUGUUGGAGGAGCAGAAGAAAGAGGGAGAAGCAUUAAUGCUUGCAAGCAAGUCAUUAUCUACACAAAUCUGGCAGUCACUACUGGUCUCUCAUCUCAUCUACACUACUAGAUUUGGCUCGGGAAUCAGGAUCAGUUGAAUGAUAUUAUAAAUGGCUUGUGCUGGUGCGAAUUUUGAGUUUUGCUUGUGUUUUUUGUGAUUUUGAACUUUGAGUGUCGAUUGAAUUCAACUGUAAGUUGGAUUGAGUGUAACUUGACAACAAACAACAUUGUUUACGGGAGAAUUUAAAUUACAAUAGGAUUAAAUCCGUUGUUUUUGUCGAACCCUGAUUA